rnacentral:rRNA from 1 species
AUUGAACGCUGGCGGCAUGCCUUACACAUGCAAGUCGAACGGUAGCGGGCCUUCGGGUGCCGACGAGUGGCGAACGGGUGAGUAAUGUAUCGGAACGUACCUUUCAGUGGGGGAUAACGUAGCGAAAGUUGCGCUAAUACCGCAUAUUCUGUGAGCAGGAAAGCAGGGGAUCGCAAGACCUUGCGCUGAUUGAGCGGCCGAUGUCAGAUUAGCUAGUUGGUGAGGUAAAGGCUCACCAGGGCGACGAUCUGUAGCGGGUCUGAGAGGAUGAUCCGCCACACUGGAACUGAGACACGGUCCAGACUCCUACGGGAGGCAGCAGUGGGGAAUUUUGGACAAUGGGGGCAACCCGGAUCCAGCCAUGCCGCGUGAGUGAAGAAGGCCUUCGGGUUGUAAAGCUCUUUCGGCCGGGAAGAAAUCGUAUCAGCUAAUACCUGGUGCGGAUGACGGUACCGGCAUAAGAAGCACCGGCUAACUACGUGCCAGCCGCCGCUGUAAGAC